AUGAAAUUUUUCAUGACAAGCAUCCUGGUCUUCAACAAUGGGCCGAGCCAUGAAAACAUGUUGUACAACUAUUUCCCCAUCAACAAAAAUGCCCAGACUCAUCUCAGACCCGGCUCACAGCACACAGCUGGUGAGGUGAAGGGUGGAGGGUGAACCCCACGGAUGGUGUGAGGUCCAGAUCAUCCUCUGUUACUCCAGGAGGAGGAGAGAAACGAAAGCGCUGCAGGAGGGAGGUGAAGAAGAGGAAGAGCGCCAUCCUGGCCAGACCCUCCCCCAGGCACACCCUACGACCUGGAAGAAGAUAAAAUGAGAGUACCAUAGAAGGAUUCACUUACCCAGUCAGUAUGGAUACAGAAACAGUGGACCUCACCUGCAGAGAAGGGCAUGAAGGCAUCCCU